rnacentral:rRNA from 1 species
GACGAACGCUGGCGGCGUGCUUAACACAUGCAAGUCGAACGGUGAAGCGCCUUCCUUUUUGGUGGGUGUGGAUGAGUGGCGAACGGGUGAGUAACACGUGAGUAACCUGCCCCCUUCUUCUGGAUAACCGCAUGAAAGUGUGGCUAAUACGGGAUAAUCUGGGUCUGUCGCAUGAUGGGUCUGGGAAAGAUAUUGUUUCGGUGGGGGAUGGGCUCGCGGCCUAUCAGCUUGUUGGUGGGGUGAUGGCCUACCAAGGCGGUGACGGGUAGCCGGCCUGAGAGGGUGGACGGUCACACUGGGACUGAGACACGGCCCAGACUCCUACGGGAGGCAGCAGUGGGGAAUAUUGCACAAUGGGCGCAAGCCUGAUGCAGCGACGCCGCGUGAGGGAUGGAGGCCUUCGGGUUGUGAACCUCUUUCGCCAGUGAAGCAGGCCUGCCUCGUUUGUGGGUGGGUUGACGGUAGCUGGAUAAGAAGCGCCGGCUAACUACGUG